GCUGGGGUAGCUCAGUUGGCAGAGCAUCUCCAUGGUAAGGAGAAGGUCGUGGGUUCGAUUCCCAUCCCCAGCU
rnacentral:tRNA from 1 species